AGUGAACGCUGGCGGUAGGCCUAACACAUGCAAGUCGAACGGCAGCACAGUAAGAGCUUGCUCUUACGGGUGGCGAGUGGCGGACGGGUGAGGAAUACAUCGGAAUCUACUUUUUCGUGGGUGAUAACGUAGGGAAACUUCCGCUAAUACCGCAUACGACCUACGGGUGAAAGCAGUGGAUCUUCGGACCUUGCGCGAUUGAAUUAGCCGAUGUCGGAUUAGCUAGUUGGCGGGGUAAAGGCCCACCAAGGCGACGAUCCGUAGCUGGUCUGAGAGGAUGAUCAGCCACACUGGAACUGAGACACGGUCCAGACUCCUACGGGAGGCAGCAGUGGGGAAUAUUGGACAAUGGGCGCAAGCCUGAUCCAGCCAUACCGCGUGGGUGAAGAAGGCCUUCGGGUUGUAAAGCCCUUUUGUUGGGAAAGAAAAGCAGCAGGUUAAUACCCCGCUGUUCUGACGGUACCCAAAGAAUAAGCACCGGCUAACUUCGUG
rnacentral:rRNA from 1 species